UGCGUAGGCGGAGAUUUAAGUCGGAUGUGAAAGCCCCGGGCUCAACCUGGGAACUGCAUUCGAUACUGGAUCUCUAGAGUAUGGUAGAGGGAAGUGGAAUUUCCGGUGUAGCGGUGAAAUGCGUAGAUAUCGGAAAGAACAUCAGUGGCGAAGGCGACUUCCUGGACCAAUACUGACGCUAAGGUACGAAAGCGUGGGGAGCAAACA
rnacentral:rRNA from 1 species